GCAACUGCGGCUCACAUGACCGCAGUCGGUGCUUCCUCACUGCGCUGAGGAGCCGUGCAGGGGCCGACUCCAAGCUCCAGCUCUACGGGAAUAACAGCCCAGGGGAGCGGGGGGACAGCUGACAUGAGCUGCUGUUAGUCGGUGAAGCUGUGAGCCGUUCUCUCAGAUCCUAGAUGUGUCCAUGCUGCAGGCCGGGGAUCCUGGAUGGGAAAGAAGCAGACGAAUGUUUAUUCCAGCCCCUGCAGUGAAAACAUAGCACAGGCAAAACACAGAGACUCUCUGCUGGGCAACAUGAGUACAGACAGACCCAAGCGGAACGUCAUCAGAAAAAGAUAUGACAUCAGUGACGGGAUGCCGUGGUGUGAAGAACGUCUGGUCCGCAAAGUUCUCUUCCUUUCUCUCAGGGAAUACAGAGACAAACACCGUGCUGCACACACUCACUCACACAUACACAAGUGUCCACAUGCUCUGCAAAAGACACUGACAAAACCUAAUGCACACAAGAAAACACAAGCAAGAAAAAACAUGCACACACAACAGCAAAGACUCACAUGCAAACAGCUAAAUACAUACACACAGGCGAACACACGUACUGCACAAAACCUGCACGUUUCAAAGCGCCUGCACGCUGAACACACAAACAAACGGCAGACAGCUCACUUGAAUUGGGUCUCGCACUCUCCAGAAAGUAAAUGUACUCGGAUACUACGGAACACACAAACUCAGAUGAAAUUGUGUAAAAGGAAAGUUGCACACACUCGGCAGCGUACUUGCACGGACCAGAAGACGUCUUCUACCAGGACACUACGCUCAAAUAAAACACAAAACACGCUGUCGCUGCAGAACUCAAAAUACCCCAAACCUGCAAAACGCACAGACACUGCUCAACACACACACUCACUGAACAACAUGUGCAGAUCUAAAAACACAAAGAUGCCACUGAGAGCUGCUCUCUCAGCCAGGACUCUGAGGUCGCACACCCCAACAAGUGUCUGUGGCUCUGUAGUUAACACUGCGAUCAAGCGUCGGGCAGCUGGUCCAAACUGGAGCUGGUCCUUACAGACGCAACAACGCCAUCCUACCAGCAGUCGUGGUGAUGAAGAUGAUUGUGCCAAAAACAGGUUCAGCAGCAUUACCGCGCAACAUGGCAUUCUUAACAAGUAAGCGAGACAGGGAGCCAGGUGACAGUCAGCGUUUGCCUUCCUGUCACAAGGCUCCAGCUGAGGAGAAGAAAAUCAGGAUGUUAUGUAGAAAAACAGUGCACAGUGACUCCAGGUCACUGAAGAGGAGGCCUGCCAGCCCUGCUGUGCUCAGAUCCACCUGCCCUUUAACAGCUCGAGCACAGAAAAGGAUGGACAGCGAUGAAAGAGAAGGGAAGCAACAGAAGAAGGGAGUGGAGGGGGACAGGCGAGAGGGCGCUCAGAUACACCUCCUGAGACCUCGCCAGCACUUACUUCAUGUCAAGAGGGCUAACAAGGUUGCCAUGGUUACUAAAAUCUCUGAGCAAAGAACCUCCUGUGUAGCGUCAGUCAUUCCUUUAACGCCGAGAACUGGUGUUGGUAACAAACAAGGCACAAGGCCAAGCAAUACAUACAAAUCAAGGCGCCAUCCCCAAAGCAGAGCCCAGGAAAGCAGCAACAAGUACCACCCCCUACAUCACAACCACCGUCGGGCUAACAAUCAGCACCUUCGCCACCCAACGCUUUCUAAAUACUAUAGCAUCCACACAACCUUCAGUAUUCUCCACAAUUCAGGAAGAAAUUCAUGCCAAACUCCAUGUUUAAAUAAACGUUCAGUGUCUAGACGGCUGAAUGAGAACCCUGUGGUCCUGAGGUUAUCCAGACGGAGGAGAGGCCUUCCACCAGACACCAGCCCUGUCCUUCCGAAUCGGGUUCCCUUGGACAAAAACUCAUCAAAUGAGUGCCAGACAUCUCAGGACAAAGAUGCUCGUGUCUCACAGGAGAGUGAUAUUUACGAGAUUCAGCAGAAAGGGGACAAUGUUAGAGAGGAUUAUGUGAACAUGUGUAAACACUCUGGUAACCACGAUGUGAAAGCUGUAGGAAAAAGAUACGGGCAUGUUGGAGAUGUGAAACUUGAGAGGGGAAAGGGAAAUAUAGAAAAGCUGCCUGUGGCAAGCACAGCUGCUCUGGAGGCCUCUGAUCAAAGGGAAAGCCUCACUAAUGUCAGCACUAGCUAUAACCUCAUGCCUGCUGGUGAGGUUGUAUGGAAACACCUGAGAGAGAAAACACUCCAAAAACAUCAGAACUCUACAAUCUUAAAGCCACCUGCCAGGGCUAAUGAGUCCAGGGCUGCUGCUAGGACUAGUGUAACUAAAGCUGCUAUUAACUCAGUGACAUCUGACCCACCAGCCAAUUCUUUUUCCAGGCACAGUGCCAAGGGUACUGAUAACAGCAAGAAAAUUAAGAAGAGUAGUUUACGAGCCGGCACCAACAUAGCCCAUGAAUCCAAAAGUGCUACAAAACAGUCUUCAAUGAGCACCACGAAGGACACAUGCAAGGAUGGUGCACUUACCAUCAGUUACUGUAGCACUUCCAAAGAGGGGCUUCUCCAGGCCAAGCCUACUACCUCAGCCAUCAAGACCAGGUUCAGCUCUAGAAUCCUUCUAAAGCACUGAUUUUUAAACAGUAUCCAAACAUGAAUACACUCACUGUUAUGUAACUAAGAUUUUAUGAUGACAAGUACAGAAAUGUUUUUAAAAGCUUUUAUUGUGUUGAAUAGUGGCAGAGCAUGAUGAUGGGUUUCCUGUCAGACAGUACAUGUCCUGUACUGGUGUCAUUGUUGAAGAUAAAAUAAACUGGAAGUCAUGAUACUGGCUGAUGCACUAUAACGUGGACUGUAUGAUGCAGAAGUGAUAAAGCUUAAAAGCUGCUAGCUUUCAGUUUUUUCAUUGUUUGCUUUUUGUCUGUUUAUUUUCUUCUUGCUUGCUAUUUCUCUUACUGUAUCUUGGAAAAAAAAUAAAAGUAUGGGGGGGGGCACCUUUUAGCACAUUAUGGUAAAUGGACUACUCAGUGUGAGCUGUCAAAGCACUUUUUCUACACGUUUCAUUCACUCAUUCACGCACAAUGCGUUUAUCUGUCUAAAGUGCAUUUACAUAACAAUCGCACACACUUUGAUGGGAGAUCCAUGAGCGGACCUCGGGGUUCAUUAUCUGCUUGAAGGAUUCUGUGACACAUGGACAGCUGGAGCCAGGCAUCAAGCCGCCGACCUGGUAGAGCACCAGCUCUGCCUCGGAGCCGCGGCCACCACGAGGUCAACAUUUUGUUUGAACAGCUACAGUAGUUGGUCUCCUCGGCUCCCAGCUGCCCUCGGGCUUCUGUCCUAACAUUUCUGAAACGUGUUGCUAACUUGAAAUUUAUGUAUUCAAAAUAAUAAAAACAGUUUUAAAAUUGAA
ensembl:lncRNA